rnacentral:sRNA from 1 species
AUGCAACAAACAUGUAGAAUAAGCCAAGAGACGUUCU